rnacentral:misc_RNA from 1 species
GAUGAAGAACGUAGCGAAAUGCGAUAAGUAAUGUGAAUUGCAGAAUUCAGUGAAUCAUCGAAUCUUUGAACGCACAUUGCGCCCGCCAGUAUUCUGGCGGGCAUGCCUGUCCGAGCGUCAUUUCAACCCUCGCGCCCAUCUGGGCUGCGGUGUUGGGGACCGGCCUGCCCCCCCCCGGGGCGCGCCGCCCCCCAAAUUCAGUGGCGGUCUCGCUGCAGCCUCCCUUGCGUAGUAGCACACCUCGCACCGGAGCGCAGCGCGGCCACGCCGUAAAACCCCCGACCCCCAUGAGUUUGACCUCGGAUCAGGUAGGAAUACCCGCUGAACUUAAGCAUAUCAAUAAGCGGAGGA